GGUUCCGUGGUGUAGGGGCUAUCACGUCUGCUUUACACGCAGAAGGUCUCCGGUUCGAGCCCGGACGGAACCA